rnacentral:sRNA from 1 species
GGGGGUCCGCGUUGUAAUUUGUAGAGGAUGAUUCGGCGAGGGCUCCCGCCUAAGUCCCCUGGAACGGGGCGUCAUAGAGGGUGAGAAUCCCGUAUGCGGUGGGCUGCCUUAGCCAUGUGAAUCUCCUUCGACGAGUCGAGUUGUUUGGGAAUGCAGCUCUAAAUGGGAGGUAAAUUUCUUCUAAAGCUAAAUACCGGCCAGAGACCGAUAGCGCACAAGUAGAGUGAUCGAAAGAUGAAAAGCACUUUGGAAAGAGAGUUAAAAAGUACGUGAAAUUGUUGAAAGGGAAGCGCUUGCAGCCAGACUUGUCCGCAGUUGCUCAGCCGGUCUCCUGACCGGCGCACUCUUCUGCGGCCAGGCCAGCAUCAGUUCGGGCGGUCGGAUAAAGGCCCCGGGAACGUAGCUCCUCUCGGGGAGUGUUAUAGCCCGGGGUGGAAUGCGGCCAGCCUGGACUGAGGAUCUCGCUUCGGCUAGGAUGCUGGCGUAAUGGCUGUAAGCGGCCCGUCUUGAAACACGGACCAAGGAGUCUAACAUCUAUGCGAGUGUUUGGGUGUCAAACCCAUGCGCGUAAUGAAAGUGAACGGAGGUGGGAACCCUCGCGGGUGCACCAUCGACCGAUCCUGAUGUCUUCGGAUGGAUUUGAGUAAGAGCAUAGCUGUUGGGACCCGAAAGAUGGUGAACUAUGCCUGAAUAGGGUGAAGCCAGAGGAAACUCUGGUGGAGGCUCGCAGCGGUUCUGACGUGCAAAUCGAUCGUCAAAUUUGGGUAUAGGGGCGAAAGACUAAUCGAACCAUCGACUACUAGGUGGUUAAGAGGUGGCUGAAAGUGCCCACCUAGUCCCCCCGUCCUCGGACGGGGGGGCGACAUCGCCAAAUUGCGGGGACUCCCUUAGAGCCUCUACUACCGCGGCCGGCCGAAAGGCGCGGUGCAGCACCGGGUUAAUUGCCUAGGGUACGGUAAAAAGGUAGAGGAUUGGGAAAUCCGCAGCCAAGCGCCUAAGUCCCGCGGGAUACGGCGAAGGUUCAGAGACUAGAUGGCGGUGGG